rnacentral:misc_RNA from 1 species
GAUGAAGAACGUAGCGAAAUGCGAUACUUGGUGUGAAUUGCAGAAUCCCGUGAACCAUCGAGUCUUUGAACGCAAGUUGCGCCCGAAGCCACUAGGCCGAGGGCACGCCUGCCUGGGCGUCACACGCCGUUGCCCCCCCAUCUACUCCUUCGGGAUUGCGGGGGGGCGGAUGAUGGCCUCCUGUGCGCCUAGCCGCGCGGUUGGCAUAAAUACCAAGUCCUCGGCGACGCACGCCACGACAAUCGGUGGUUGCGAAACCUCGGUUGCCCGUCGUGUGCGUUCGUCGCGCAUCGAGGGCUCGAAAAAAUGCUCGGCUCCGGCUGGGCUUUCAACGCGACCCCAGGUCAGGCGGGGUUACCCGCUGAAUUUAAGCAUAUCAUAAGCGGAGGA